GUAUAUGUAUAUUAGAGAUAAUAUAUAGUACCGACUUUGUCGGAUAAAGUUCUAGAUAGAAUAAUGAUAAUGACAAUUUUCUAUCUAUAUGUCUUGACCAAAUCUUGUGCCAGCAGUCGCGGCAACACAAGGGAGACUAGUGUUAUUCAUCUUUAUUAGGUUUAAAGGGUACCUAGACGGUAUAUCAAGCCCCAAAAGGGAACGGAUAUACUAGAGUUUUAUGUGAGAGGCAAAUAUAGUACUAUUGGUGUAGAGAUAAAAUUUACUGAUACCUCUAGGCACGGGUAACGGCGAAGGCAAUCCUCUAUGUAAAAACUGACGUUGAGGGACGAAGGCUUGGGUAGCGAAUAGGAUUAGAUACCCUAGUAGUCCAGGCAGACAAUUAUGAAUGUCAUAGAUUAGAAAGCAAAGAAGAAAGUGGGUUUGCUAUAAAGAUUGUGUUAUUUAAGAGUCUUGUUAUUAAAUUAUACAGUCCCUACUUAACUAGUUUAAAUAUAACUCUUAAACUCCCUUAAGCGAGAAUCUACCCUCCUCCUCUUUAUGGGGAGGGGAGAGACCUCUCCUCCUUUUUUAUCAGGAGGGGAGGGAGGCUUCCCCUUUAGUAGGAGGAGGGUGCAGAAAGGGAAUAUAAGGAAGGUUUAUUCCCUCUUUUAAUAAACCUUGAGGUUAGUUAUUUUCUCUUGUUCCGUACACAAGUGGAAAUGAAUAUAGCAUAUAACAUUGUGUAUUAAAAAGGAUCCGGGUAAAGGUUUUCUUCUUUACCUUCCCUUUUUUAUCUAUAAAUGAAAGUGUAAGCAUUCCACCUCAAGAGUAAUGCGGCAACGCAGGAACUGAAAUCAUUAGACCGUUUCUGAAACCAGUAGUGAAGUAUGUUAUUUAAUUCGAUGAUCCUCGAAAAACCUUACCACAAUUUGAAUGUUAAUUAAUAAAUUAACACAGGCGUUGCAUGGCUGUCUUCAGUUAAUGUCGUGAGAUUUGGUUAGAUCCAAAAAAAUUAUCGUAAACCCUUGUUCUUUAUUUGUUUGAAUAAUGCAGUUAACCACUAUAUUGGAUUAUAUAAC
rnacentral:rRNA from 1 species